GGAUGUGAGGGGUGAUUUGACCACAACAUCCAUCACCCCAUUGAACUCCAAGUUGAUCUGGUUGGCUAUGUCUCUUUCCUGUUUUUCAACUCCAUGUACAUCCCUUUGUAUUUGGUCAAAGAGGAUAACCUUCUCCAAAUAGAGGACAGGUCUUUGAUAAAGUGCAUAGAAAUGGCUGUACCACCUUUCUAGGACCUGCAAACAAGCCAAGUCUACAUAGCGGGGCCCUAGGAAGACAGGGAUAGAGGGAAGAAGGGAGAAAAGAAGGGAAAAUAAAAGAGGC
ensembl:misc_RNA 7SK 7SK RNA